GCCAAUCUUGGUGACAGUGUAGGAGAGGAAAAAUUCUUCCUGUACCCUCUUACGUUCAGCGCCUGGUAUCUGCAACUCAAACUAGGGAAAGAAAGACAGAUUACAGGAGAAAAGACAUACACAUUUUAUUUGAUGUCAAUAUUUUAUUUUUUAUGUGCAUGAAGUUCUUCACAAAAGAAGUGAAGGGACUUCCCUGGCAGUCCAGUGGUUAAGAUUUCAUGAUUCCACUGCAGGAUUCAAGCCUGGUUGGGGAACUAAGAUCCCACAUGCCAUGAGGUGCAGCCAAAAAAUAAAGUAAAUUAUAGUAACAAUAAGUUUAAAAAAGAAAAGUGGAGAGGUCAGGGGCCAAGAGCCAGGCCACCAUUGCAGGCCAGGAGGACUUCUGUGGUGGUCCAGUGGUUAAGAUUCUGUGGGCUGACUCUGGGUUAACUGUGCUAUAACUGCAGGGGGCGCAGGUUUGAGCCCUGGGUGGGGAACUAGGAUCCCGCAUACCACGCAGUGCAGCCAAAAAACAAAUGGCUGGGUGAUCAGGUCAGGGUGAUCACGGUGUCCCUGGCUCGGCCCUGGUGCAAGCCUGGUUCACGGACUGGUCGCAGCCACACAACCCAGCAGCUGCAUGUUGACAGGUGUGAGAAUGAUUCCAGAACUAGAAGAGAUCCAGAAAGGUAAGCAGUACUCUCGGGUGGACAUCAUAAUCACAGGCAAAGAUAAACUCCCGCGUUAUGCGGAGCGCUGACGCUGCAUGAUGCGGUUUGCCGCACCCCGGGUGGUGGUGGACACUGAGAAGUGAGAGGGGAGAGGACGAGUAGGUCCGGAUUUUCCUGGAAAAGGAGGCGUGGUCACUGCUCCUGCAGGGAUUUUCCCACUCCACCCUGGAAGAGGAGAAUGCGUAAAGGCCUCGUGGCCUCUGGUUAGAUAGCGGGAGAACUGGUGCGAACCACGCGCGCCUCGCCAGCUGACCGGUCCAAGGCCCGAGGGCGCACGCGGGGUGGUGGUGCAGACAGCGGGCGCCCUGGGGCCUCGGCUCCCCUCCCCCCACCCCCGUGAAGUUCCCGACGGUGACAGCCACAGAGAGGCCGUCAUUUUCCCCUGGCUUUUAUGUUGUAAGCUUGAGGUGAGUUUCCUGUGCAAGAUCGCUUGAUCAGAGUGCGUUUUAAUGGCGGAGCUAUGCAGCUGGCUCGUACAUGGAAGCAUCUGGGCAAAUCCGUUCCUUUCCGCUGAGUCAGGGUCAGUGCUCCGCGGCCCGGUGUCAGCUCGUGCCUUCGGCUCUAACCAGCGCGUUGCGGGUUUGGGUGUUGUCGUUGCCGGGCUGCUCCAGGUCUUCACGAUGCACCCAGGCUUCUCCAGGUGCAGCCCGAGGCCUUAGUUGACCCGCGGCACAUGAGAUCUUAGUUCCCCAAGCAGGGUUGGAACUCGCAUCCCCUGCAUUGCAAGGUGGAUUCCUAACCACUGGACCACCUGGGAAGUCCCUAUCCACAGCUUUGAUUGUGCUGUUAGUUCCGGGGGUGUAUGCAAAUGUCAAAAUUUAUCAAUUUGUACAAUUUAUAUGUGUGCAGAUUAUUGGACGUCAAUGAUUCCUCAAUAAAACUUGAAAAAAUCCUGGAGCCAGAGUGUGCAGAGACACAGCCCACACGAAGGAGAGUGCCUGCCAUGUGCGUGUGGCACGUCCUUGCUGUGUGAGCUCAGGCUGCGCUCAUUAAUCCAGUCACGUCACAGGCACUGAACGUCCUCCGGCUCUACAGGGUGUUGGCCUGAAGCAGCAAAGCCACCACCCUCACAUUCGGGGCGCUCACAGUCUGGCUGGGAACACCGGCGAUUUCAAUGCUCUGAGGCACCGAGCUCUAUACAGGAGGUGUGAUCAUGGUGUGCUUCCUGGAAGAGGUGUCGCUAAGCUGACAUGUCCAUAGGGUAGGGUAGGAGUUCACCGGAAAGAUGGGCUUUCCCAGCAGAGGGAAUAUCAUUGAAAAAGUCCAGAGACAGGAGAGGGGUCCAACAAGCCCACGCGUGGGGUGUGGCUACCGGGUAGGAAGGAGGCAACCAGAGACGUCCACAGUCAGGGUCCAGGCUCGGUCCUGAGGGCAGUGGAGACCCUCAGGAGCUGAGGGUGCUGAGGUCAGAGGCUCGGGGGCUGCAGGACGGAGGGUGGGUGGGAGAGGCCUGGGGUGGGCGCAUGGCUGGAGGCGGCGGGUGAUGUGGUGUGCCGGGCAGGACGUGCUGAGUGUAAGACGCUGCACCUGACGCAGAAAGAGGCGGCAGCGGGCAAAGCUGCCUGCGGCUGGUUUAAUUAAAAGCAGAGCAGCACGAAAGCAUCUGAAGUGAAGACUGAAGCCAGCCCCGCUUCUGACAGUGGAGGCUCCUUGCAGACCAACACCGGCCGGUGCGUCCAAGGAGGUGGGGUCCAAGCCCCGGGCAGCGGGCCUCGGCUGAGACAGGUCUGCACAGGGCCCUGCUCUGCGCUGGUCCUUCCUGCAAGCGGAGUCGAGACUCUGUUUGGGCCCUCUCGGCAGUUCUGAGAGCCACCUUUAGCCCUGAAAAGAUCUCCUUUAGCUGAAAAUAGAACAGACGCUAGUUUGCAGUUAAGAACACUCAAGAGUUAAGCAAAAGGGUGGCUAAGGACCGGGGGGUCGGAGGGGCUGUGGUGCCAGGCCCAGAGGUCUGCGUUGCCUCUAGAGCCGCAACAGAAAGAGGUGGGUCGGUGCAGACCGGAGGUGGCAGGACUGUGUGGGGUGGGGAGGGGUGUGGAUUUAAGCUGAAGCAACAGGGCAGUUCCUACAGGAUGUGGUCAUGGAGCCAGACCACGGGGGGACAGUGGAGGGGAAGCCUGGGAGCUGAGGGCAGGGAACAGGGAGGUCACUGGGUGGAUAGGGUUUCUCAGUGGUCUGUGAAAUCACCCAAAUAGUGGCAGGACCAGAGCCCCCAGAGCAGGCCCCCAGAGCAGACAGAAAGGGGCCAUGUCACCGCAGGUGGUAGAACAGCAGAGCGGGGAGGUGCUAAGACUGGGGGAGCAGCAAGGGGGGGACCCUGGUGAGCAGCCCAAGGAGCCUGGCAGGCAGGGGGUCCUCCGGGCGGUGGGGGCCGGCAGGGCCCCCGGGAAGGGGUGGUGGAGCCUGUCCGUGUUCGCGCCUCAAGAGCUUCAGGUGUCUCCAGGGGAGGAGCUGGAAGGGCGGGAAGCGCCGGGCGGGAGGGGACAGUCCGAGCAGCGAGGGGACGAGGGCACCUGGGUGGCCGGCGCUGUGGGCGCCCCACGGGGCGGUGUCUCCCAAGGAGGUUGGAGCAGCCCAGCCAGCACCCCAGGCCUUAGAGGAAUCCAGGCCAUGCAGACAAGUCGUGUAACUUCUCUGGGACUCGGUUUCCCUGCUUGUGAAGUGAGUACAAGAAUGUCUAAUCUGCCAGGUUGUAAUUCGGCGCUAACAGCAGCUGGCCCAGGGCAGAUGUUCAGUAAACAGCAGCUGCUGUUGUUUUUCUGAUUAUAAUUACGUCUCUUCGGGAAGAGUGAGACUCAGAGGAGAGGGGACAUGGGGUGGGGUCCUGGGGCCUACGGAACCUCGGGGUCCAGCCCUCCUGGCCCCCUUCCCUCACCCUCCCUUCCCCUUAAAUGGCCUCCUCCAGAAGGCUGGCCCUGGGGUGUCCGAGGACCCAGGCGUCCUCUUUCCCCGAGACUAGGUCACCAUCCCUAUGUGGAAAGCCUUCGGCCGGGUAGGCCGUGCCUCCCAGCUGCUGCCCCCCCGCAGCCCCCAGCCUGCUCCUCCCAUCAGCAGCUCCAAGCCAUUAACCCCCUGCUCACUCCCCACACCUCUCAGCUUGUGAGAGACCAAGCCUCAGCCGGAGGACCACCCGGGGGGGGCACCGUGGAGCCAAGGUGGAGGGCUGAGGAUGCUGUGGGGAGCUGUCCUGGAGGGGAAGGACCCGCCGGGCCCACCCUGAGGCCCGCAGUGCCCUGCUCCCUCCCUGCCCCCUCUGGAGCGCCUUGCAUCCCACCCCGGUUCCCGCUGCUUUCUGAAAGGGAGCAGCAGACCGGAAGGUGAUUUUUGAUUUGCAGCGUCAGCCGCGUUCCACAGGCAUGCCCACCCCACCCAUCGCCCUUCCCUGGGGACCUCUGCCCCUUUGCUCUUCCCUGAUCCUCAGUCACCAGGACAGGCGCCUCCAGGCCCCCCUGGUGUCUGGGGCUGGGGUCCCAGGAGGGUGCAGCUAGGGGGCAGAGCCAGACCUCGAGUCCCACCCAACCGUCGCCAGAGCUACCGGAGCCCCCCAGGUCCCGGCUCCACCCAGAGCGCCCCAGAGCGGAGGAGGGCGUGGCCACCCACUCCCGUGUUUCUGCUUGGGAAUUGCCGUGGACAGAGGAGCCUGGCGGGCUGCAGUCCACGCAGUACAUGACUAAGCAUGCACGCAUGAGGGUGGAGGGGGAUGGCUUGGUAGCAAUAAACUAGUAGAACUUAAAAAAAUAAGAGGACCCCAGAUGAGCCUCCCCGCCAGGCCGUGUUCCCCGGGGGUCUUCAGUCUGGGACCAAGAAGAGGUCACUCGUGCAGUCCCAAUGCCCCCAGCCCUGACCUCACCCAGGGGGCCUGGGCAGCCCCUCCUGCAGCAGCCUCCCCACCCGCCCCCUGGCUUCCUCUGCCAGGACAGCCACCUGCCUCCGCCGGCUGGAGCAGGACUGGGCUGGGAACGUCUCCAGCCCCUGACAGGCCCAGUGUCAGUUCCAGGCCCUUCUGGGGAGGGUGGAGGCCCGGGGCGGGGCUGCCAAAGUCAACACACCAGUGUCUGUAGGCAGGGACUGGUUUGGCACCUGCGGGCCUGGUUCCAGCCCACAGGCCCAGGGCUCAGCCUCUCCUGGGUCACCCAGAGUUCCCGGCCCCCAGACCUCUGCCUCCGCCAGGCAGCCAGUGCUGGUCAGAACCACUUCCCACCCAAAACCGGGCCAGCGCCUGGAGAACUGAGACCCUAAACCUGUGCCUGAGAGAAGGUCCCUGCGCCGUGUGAUCAAGUCACAUCUCUCACCCCUCACUGUCUCCAAUGUCACCAACCCAGGCAAGGGUCCUGCUCGCUCACGAGCACAACUUCCAAAAGGACCCGUCAUCAACGUUCGAGCCCUAAACCUCUUUGAAUCCUUUGCAUCAGAAUCGCUUGUCUGCUGCUUCCACCAAUCCUCACCCAGUUCUGCUCCAGGCCCCUUGUCCUGAAAAGGUUAGGGUCCUAUCUUCAGUCCUAAACCAGACGUCCGGCUGUGCCCACUGCUUCCCCACCCCCGCCCCGGCCAGGUGUGCCGUAGACUCUUAGUGAGGUCUGGGGAGUGGGCACUGGACACUCUCUACUCAUCUGCUCCCCGCAGUGAACCAUAUUCCCAUCCAGAAGGCUCAAUCCCAAUAAAACCCCAAGCCCCGCCCCCACCCUCAACAGCAAAGCCCAGCCGCCUCGACAGCCACCCUGACAGGGAGACAGGGAGGGUGAGUGAAGGCCCGGGUACACCCAGGUCUGGCCGCUUGUGGAGGAGGCUGUUGGGAGGAAGGGGCUGGAUUUAACUAACAAACGUGAGGGGCACGGGCGCAGGGCUGGACUGGGAGGCCGGGCUCCACAACAGCCUGAUUUGCUUUGCAAAGGCUGUGGGUGGUCCACGCCCAGGCAGGGCCGCCUAGAGGGCAGGUGGUAGGUUCUGCUGAAAGAUGACGCCCCCAGGAGCCCCCUUCUCAUUCCUCCUUCCGGGGCCCUCUGCACCCCAGUUCUUCAUUCACCACCCCCAUGCCUAUGUGCUCAGGGGUGGGGGGCCGUCCCCGAGGAGCCUGCCCCCCCACAGAGAGAGCCCUUCGCCCCUGGCCUGUCCCCAUAGGGACAGAAACUGGGCCCCUCUCACCCACCUGGGCCUGGGUGUGCCCCCGGGGCAGGCAGUGGGCGCACAGAUGCCCUUUGCUCAGCCGGCGGGGUGGGGGUGGGGGGAGCCACGCCCGGGGCCGCCCUGCCCAGGCCCCCUCCCCACCAGGCACCUCCUUCCUCUCCCCCAGCAGCCGGGGCACGGGUCCCAGGGCGGCACAAAGAGUCCUUUGUCUGGGCUGCACACGAUUGUUCUCCCCUCUGCGGGAACAGGGCUGCGUCUCAUUAUCAAGCUCUUGGAGGCGGGAUCAAAGGGCUCUGUCGCGGGCGCUGUCCUCCCGACGGCCCUACCUGGCCCCCGACUCUGGGACACAGUUUCCGCCCUGGGCAGGGCCUGCGUGAGCCCCGGAGCGGCAGGGAGCCGGACGGGGGGUGGGGGGUGGUGUGGCGAGGGCCCGGGCGGGAGCCCACACCCCCACCGGCACCCAGCGCUCAGGUUACACCCCCCGCCAGCGCCCUGGGUGUGAACGUGCUGAGAGGCACUGCCCGGCGAGGAGGGUGCGGCCUGCCUGGCCGGGGGCCACCCCCGCUCCCAGAAUCCCAUCGGGGGGCAGCCCUCGGCUCUGGGGCCCCUUCCCUCCACGUGCUUUGGCACCAGGUCAGUCCCGGUCCAGAUGAAACGUGGCCAACCUGUUCCACCCCCCACCGUCCUGGCAUCACCACGGGAAGCGCGAGCCCCCGGCCUUCCCCACCCGCGGCUCCUCUGCCUCCAUCAGCAGGGCGCACAUGACUCUCUCGAGCCAAGUCCUAGGUCACGUGGAGAUUAAAGCCAGUCCUCCUCUCAGGCCUGGAGCCCCCUGGGCCAGGGCUAGGACCUGCAGAUAAGUCGCAUGAUCGAGGGAAGAAGCCCGCGGGGCGGACGGAGGGGCUCGUGACCGCGCCUCCCGCACACGCCGCGUCCUGGUAGUCGGGGGAUGGGGCACCAGAGUCCCUGGGAUUUCAACAGCCCGAGCUGGGGGUGGGGCAGCCGAGGCUCAGCCAGGGGGCUCCGCAAGUUCCCGCACAGCUGAGGCUGGAGGUUGGCCCCGCACUAUCUCCAGCUGGUCUCCCCGCCGCGGCCGCCACCAAAGCUAUUAUGAGUCACGUGUCUGGGAGACCCAGUCUCGCCCCAGGAGGCUUACAGGCCUGCGAGAUGCAGCAGACACGGGGGACUGGAUCGGACAGCAGUGCGCACGCGCGCUCGGGGCAGCGCCGCAGGUCAGAGCAGAGCCUGCGCCCACGAGCCUCCGAGAGACCACGACCUCUGGGAGCCGCGCUGGGGGCCGCGGAGGCCCCGAGGACAGGCCGGGGCCGGGGCCAGGGCUGCGGAUGGAGGGGCCGCAGGCCCUGUGGAGCGGAGGAGUCAGAAUCCCGCGGAAGGAGACAGGGCCCAGGCGUGUGGGGUCGGGACACAGCACCUCGGUGGGGCCCCUCACCCCCUGGGAAGCCGGAACCUGGCGGUCUUCUGGGCCCUGCCUUUCCCCCGAGUCCCCACCCCGCCCACCUGGCCCUCACAAACCCUCUGUCCAGCGCUCCACA
ensembl:lncRNA